GACGAACGCUGGCGGCGUGCCUAAUACAUGCAAGUUGAGCGCUGAAGGUUGGUACUUGUACCAACUGGAUGAGCAGCGAACGGGUGAGUAACGCGUGGGGAAUCUGCCUUUGAGCGGGGGACAACAUUUGGAAACGAAUGCUAAUACCGCAUAAAAACUUUAAACACAAGUUUUAAGUUUGAAAGAUGCAAUUGCAUCACUCAAAGAUGAUCCCGCGUUGUAUUAGCUAGUUGGUGGGGUAAAGGCUCACCAAGGCGAUGAUACAUAGCCGACCUGAGAGGGUGAUCGGCCACAUUGGGACUGAGACACGGCCCAAACUCCUACGGGAGGCAGCAGUAGGGAAUCUUCGGCAAUGGACGAAAGUCUGACCGAGCAAUGCCGCGUGAGUGAAGAAGGUUUUCGGAUCGUAAAACUCUGUUGGUAGAGAAGAACGUUGGUGGGAGUGGAAAGCUCAUCAAGUGACGGUAACUACCCAGAAAGGGACGGCUAACUACGUG
rnacentral:rRNA from 1 species